UACGGAGGAUGCAAGCGUUAUCCGGAAUGAUUGGGCGUAAAGCGUCCGCAGGUGGCAAUGUAAGUCUGCUGUCAAAGCGUCUGGCUCAACCAGAUAAAGGCAGUGGAAACUACAUAGCUAGAGUAAGGUAGGGGUAGAGGGAAUUCCUGGUGUAGCGGUGAAAUGCGUAGAGAUCAGGAAGAACACCGGUGGCGAAGGCGGCAUCCUGGACCGGCAUUGACGCUGAGGAGCGAAAGCCAGGGGAGCAAACGGG
rnacentral:rRNA from 1 species